AUUGAACGCUGGCGGCAGGCCUAACACAUGCAAGUCGAGCGAGCGGCGGACGGGGGAGUAAUGUAUGGGGACUGCCCGAUAGAGGGGGAUAACUACGGGAAAAGGUAGCUAAUAAGGCAUACUAGGGGAUAAGCCAUAUGGGAUUAGCUGGUUGGUGAGGUAAUGGCUCACCAAGGCGACGAUCCCUAGCUGGUCUGAGAGGAUGAUCAGCCACACUGGGACUGAGACACGGCCCAGACUCCUACGGAGGCAGCAGUGGGGAAUAUUGGCCAAUGGGCGCAAGCCUGAUCCAGCCAUGCCGCGUGUAUGAAGAAGGCCCUCGGGUUGUAAAGUACUUUCAUUCGGGAGGCGUUACCGACAGAAGAAGCACCGGCUAACUCCGUGCCAGCAGCCGCGGUAAUUC
rnacentral:rRNA from 1 species